rnacentral:rRNA from 1 species
UAAUACGUAGGGGGCGAGCGUUGUCCGGAAUUAUUGGGCGUAAAGAGCUCGUAGGCGGUUGUUUAAGUCGGGUGUGAAAUCUCAGGGCUCAACUCUGAAACUGCACCCGAUACUGGACGACUUGAGGCAGGUAGGGGAGAUCGGAAUUCCUGGUGUAGCGGUGAAAUGCGCAGAUAUCAGGAGGAACACCGGUGGCGAAGGCGGAUCUCUGGGCCUGUUCUGACGCUGAGGAGCGAAAGCGUGGGGAGCAAACAGG